AUUGAACGCUGGCGGCAGGCCUAACACAUGCAAGUCGAACGAGUGGCGGACGGGUGAGUAAUUUCUGGGAAACUGCCUGAUGGAGGGGGGUAACUACUGGAAACGGUAGCUAAUACCGCAUACCAUCAGAUGUGCCCAGAUGGGAUUAGCUAGUGGGUGGGGUAACGGCUCACCUAGGCGACGAUCCCUAGCUGGUCUGAGAGGAUGACCAGCCACACUGGAACUGAGACACGGGCCAGACUCCUACGGGAGGAAGCAGUGGGGAAUAUUGCACAAUGGGCGAAAGCCUGAUGCAGCCAUGCCGGGUGUAUGAAGAAGGCCUUCGGGUUGUAAAGUACGUUCAGCGGGGAGGCGUUACCCGCAGAAGAAGCACCGGCUAACUCCGUGCCAGCAGCCGCGGUAAUAC
rnacentral:rRNA from 1 species